rnacentral:rRNA from 1 species
GACGAACGCUGGCGGCGUGCUUAACACAUGCAAGUCGAACGGAAAGGCCCUGCUUUUGUGGGGUGCUCGAGUGGCGAACGGGUGAGUAACACGUGAGUAACCUGCCAUUGACUUUGGGAUAACUUCAGGAAACUGGGUCUAAUACCGGAUAGGAGCUCCUGCGGCAGGGUGGGGGUUGGAAAGUUUCGGCGGUUGGGGAUGGACUCGCGGCUUAUCAGCUUGUUGGUGGGGUAGUGUCUUACCAAGGCUUUGACGGGUAGCCGGGCUGGGCGGGUGACCGGCCACAUUGGGACUGAGAUACGGCCCAGACUCCUACGGGAGGCAGCAGUGGGGAAUAUUGCACAAUGGGCGGAAGCCUGAUGCAGCAACGCCGCGUGCGGGAUGACGGCCUUCGGGUUGUAAACCGCUUUCGCCUGUGACGAAGCGUGAGUGACGGUAAUGGGUAAAGAAGCACCGGCUAACUACGUG